rnacentral:misc_RNA from 1 species
UCUCUCUCUCUCUCUCUCAUUCUGUGUAACUUUCACUGGCUAAGGGAAUCGAAGCCUUUUUCUGCCAACUAUUUUUAGGUUCUAGUUUUUUUUCUCCACCAUAAGAGCCUAACCAAAAAUCCAUAAUCAAGUGGCCCUUCUUUAUCGUUUUGUUAUCUUCUGCAGAAACAAACUGUUAAAAGGUUGGUAUCUUUCUUCCUUCCUUUAACAGAGUGAUCUUACUUUCCUCUUUUGUCUUCUUAAAUUUCACUUUUAAAAUCUCUGUUUUUUCUUUCUUCUUGUAGUUCAGUCUCUUCUGAACAAUAAUUUCUCUUUGCUUCGUUUCUUGCUCCUUUUCCCGCUAUCAACUGUUCAUUAGGAUCACAGUAAUGGGUUUCUCUUUUUUCUCACAUCAUUAUCUAAUGGUUCCUCUCCCAAGUACUGCUAAUUCUUUAUUCUUAUUCCUCGAUUCCAAGAU